GCUUCUGGAAAAAUUCAGCACACUGAAAUAUUUUGAUUCUCUGAUUAUCAACAGUUACAGGAGCGGCAGCGUGAUUGUAGAUUAUACGGUGCAGUUAAUGAGUUCAGUUACAAUUGAUGAGUUGGAAAAUUUUACCCAAACACUGCCUAAUUCUGUUCUGGUAACAACAGGCCUCAUCACUAUUAACGGUCCUCAGAAGGCAAUUGACAUCGGCUCCUCUGUAAGUAUAACUUGUAAUCCACCACAAGAGCUGGGAGAGGUAAAGUGGUUCUUAACAGAUAGGCAGAACAAAACAACAGAGAUCACAAUAGGAAAAGAGGCCGCCUUGAAGAAGAUCAAGUUGAUGGACAUUGUUGAACUGUAUGACAUUUCAGGAAGCUGGAAAGGAACACUAAAAUGUGUGUACAAAAGAAGGUCCAUAGAACACACAGCAAGUACAGAGUUGGACAUAGCACUUCUGCCAGAAAUACAGGCUAGAGCAUGCCCCAAUUUCCUGACUGUAGAAAUGGAAAUGCAGAAAGAGUGGUUGAAAUUGAGUGUAAAAAUUUUGACGACAAAGAAAAUUACAGUGUUGCAUGGAAUACUAGUCUUACUUACACAAAAAUAGGACCAGAACGCCAGGGGAAUUUUUUAUCUUACAAAGUAAAGGCAACCAUAAAUUGUGGAGACAAAACAGAGACAGAGAAUGUCAUGUGUAUAUUCACAAACACCAGAGCCGAAAAGAACAGAACCAGAUCUCAGAAUGUGCAGAUUCCCAUCAUUUAUGGUAAGUUUUGAUGUUGUUUAUCUUUUUUCUUAAUUCUAUAUCUUUUAAAGUUGUAGACAGUAUUUCACAGCUGAAGAGUGUGAUUUUUCUUUUUUUUUCAAUGUUACAAUCGACCAGCCUGACACAGCGUAACUGACUCAACUAAUGGUGUGAGUUUGGGGUCGAGUAUGUUAAUCUGACCAGUGAGGGGUGG
ensembl:lncRNA